GACCCCUUAGCUCAGUGGUAGAGCGUGUGAUUCCAGCCAAUGGAACCUCCACAAGGUCAUGCGUUCAACUCGCAUAGGGGUCA